rnacentral:misc_RNA from 1 species
GCCGAUUCUCAUUUCAAAUACUGUCCAUAUUAAAUUCUUAAUUCGCUGCCUAACUUAAUAGAUUGAAAUUAUUAUAUUUUAACUAAUUAUACUACAUAUAUUCUUCUCCUUAUACCUUCCUGACAUAUUCAAUCGUAACCCCCCACAAUUAGCAAAUCCAUAAACUUAACAAACAAUCAUUUUCGUUUAUUUACCUCAUUCCCUAUUAUAUAUCUUAUCUCUCUCUAUGUACCUUAUUUGCAAAAAUAAAUUGCUCUAUAACUUAUUUAAAAUGAGAACCUCUAAAUAUUAAGAACUAGGCCAAACUUACACACAUCCAAAAACACACUCAUUUAUCCUUUUGUUACUCAUUAUAAAUGAUUUGUAAGGCUCUUAUAUAUAAACUCAAAGUAUGCCAACCUUUUGGCGAAAAGAUGCAUAUGUUCAUGCAUAUAACUAUUAAGAAGAGUUGUAUCUCUUCAUGCAAUUACAUCUUUUAACCAAUGUACAUGACACUUGGAUUUUGCCACCAUUUGGCAACAUACGUGACUUUUGGAUUUUAAGUCUAAUGGAUUUGAGUUGACUCACAUGGGCAACCUGAACUCAUUUCAAAUUCUACAAAGUUUUUACUUUACAAAUAGAUCAUGUGAUCAGUGCAUACUUUGAAAGCUCAUUUGCUAUAUACUUAUUAGGAUAAUUUAGCAUCUCGACUAAUAGAGAUUAAAGUAGAUGCAGUAGAGAUUAAAGUAGAUGCAGUAUGUAACACCCUAUAUCAUUUAUCACAUUUAUAUCUAUUUUGAUCUCAUUCAUAUAUCCUGAGUUAAAAAUUAUGUCUUUAUCGCAAUGAUAAACAUAAUUGAUCAACUUAUGAACACAUACUAAUGUGACAAUUCCAAUUAUCUUUCUCUUUUCAUGAUACUCUCAACCUUAAUUUAGCUUGAUUUUCUAGGAAUGUCCAUCUAGACUGAAUUUUACACAGUUACAUUAAACUAAGUCUCGAAUAACUGAUUAGAAUCAUGAGAGUACUAGGUAAAGAUCACUUAUAAUCCUUAGAGUCUUACACAAGACUAAGUAGAGACCACACUUGUAUUCCCCUUGAUGGAUACAAAUCGCACAUGUGGUAUGAAUCACAUGCUAUUGUAUUUAGUCUAUCGGACCUAGGGGUCGUAAUCUAUAUUUUGAUGAUAAUAAAUAAUUAGUGUGCUACUAAUCUAAUGUGAAAGUGUUUGUGUUGAGAUUGUAGGUCCCAAGUUCAAAAUUAUGAUAUUGCUUCAAAUCAAGAUUGAAAGAGAGCAAGAAAUUAAAGCAAAAAUCAAGGAGACACUAUAAUGUAAAUUAUUUUUUAAUCUUAUGAAUCUCAAUUAAUUAGUUAUGUUGGGUCAAGUCUAGGAAUUUUCAAAAUUUUUUUGUGUCUCUAUUUUUAUCUAUUUCUUAAUCAAAUGAGAGUAAAAUGAAAUUUUCACUUUUGAGAAAUGCAAA